GGGCCCGCACAAGCAGCGGAGCGUGUGGUUUAAUUCGAUGCAACGCGCAGAACCUUACCUCGACUUGACAUGCACGUGGUACUGAGGUGAAAGCCGAGGGACCCGCGAGGGAGCGUGCACAGAUGCUGCAUGGCUGUCGUCAGCUCGUGCCGUGAGGUGUUGGGUUAAGUCCCGCAACGAGCGCAACCCUUGUCCUUAGUUGCCUUCUCUAAGGAGACCGCCGGUCUAAACCGGAGGAAGGUGGGGAUGACGUCAAGUCAGCACGGCUCUUACGUCGAGGGCUACACACACGCUACAAUGGCCGGUACAACGGGCUGCCAAGGGGUGACCCGGAGCCAAUCCCACCAAAGCCGGUCUCAGUUCGGAUCGCAGGCUGCAACUCGCCUGCGUGAAGUCGGAGUUGCUAGUAACGGCUGGUCAGCACACAGCCGUGAAUACGUUCCCGGGCCUU
rnacentral:rRNA from 1 species